rnacentral:rRNA from 1 species
AGAGUUUGAUCCUGGCUCAGGACGAACGCUGGCGGCGUGCUUAACACAUGCAAGUCGAACGGAGGUAUUUAUUUCGGUAGAUAUCUUAGUGGCGAACGGGUGAGNNNNNNNNNNNNNNNNNNNNNNNNNNNNNNNNNNNNNNNNNNNNNNNNNNNNAUACCGCAUAAGACCACAUUGUCACAUGACAGAGGGGUCAAAGGAGCAAUCCGCUUUGGGAGGGGCUCGCGUCCCAUUAGGUAGUUGGUGAGGUAACGGCCCACCAAGCCUGCGAUGGGUAGCCGAGCUGAGAGGCUGAACGGCCACACUGGAACUGAGACACGGUCCAGACUCCUACGGGAGGCAGCAGUGGGGAAUAUUGGGCAAUGGGCGCAAGCCUGACCCAGCAACGCCGCGUGAGGGAAGAAGGUUUUCGGAUUGUAAACCUCUGUCCUUGGGGACGAAAAAAAUGACGGUACCCAAGGAGGAAGCCCCGGCUAACUACGUGCCAGCAGCCGCGGUAAUACGUAGGGGGCGAGCGUUGUCCGGAAUUACUGGGCGUAAAGGGCGCGUAGGCGGUCUUUUAAGUUAGAUGUGAAAUUCCCGGGCUCAACUUGGGGGGUGCAUCUAAUACUGGGAGGCUAGAGUGCAGGAGGGGCAACUGGAAUUCCUGGUGUAACGGUGAAAUGUGUAGAUAUCAGGAGGAACACCCGUGGCGAAGGCGGGUUGCUGGACCAAAACUGACGCUGAGACGCGAAAGCGUGGGUAGCAAACAGGAUUAGAUACCCUGGUAGUCCACGCUGUAAACGAUGAGUGCUAGGUGUAGGGGGUAUCGACUCCCUCUGUGCCGCAGCUAACGCAAUAAGCACUCCGCCUGGGGAGUACGGUCGCAAGAUUGAAACUCAAAGGAAUUGACGGGGGCCCGCACAAGCAGCGGAGCAUGUGGUUUAAUUCGAAGCAACGCGAAGAACCUUACCAAGGCUUGACAUCCACUUAAACGCAUGGAAACAUGCGGUCUCUUCGGAGGAAGUGAGACAGGUGGUGCAUGGUUGUCGUCAGCUCGUGUCGUGAGAUGUUGGGUUAAGUCCCGCAACGAGCGCAACCCCUACAGCUAGUUGCCAGCACGUAAUGGUGGGAACUCUAGCAGAACUGCCGUUGACAAAACGGAGGAAGGUGGGGAUGACGUCAAAUCAUCAUGCCCCUUAUGUCUUGGGCUACACACGUACUACAAUGGCCUGAACAGAGGGAAGCGAAACUGCGAAGUUAAGCGAACCCCUUAAAACAGGUCCCAGUUCGGAUUGUAGGCUGCAACUCGCCUACAUGAAGUUGGAAUCGCUAGUAAUCGCAGGUCAGCAUACUGCGGUGAAUACGUUCCCGGGCCUUGUACACACCGCCCGUCC